rnacentral:rRNA from 2 species
GUCCUUUUGAUUAUAAUUUAAGGUCUAAUCUGCCCACUGAUAAAUAUUAAAGGGCUGCAGUAUCAUGACUGUACAAAGGUAGCAUAAUCAUUAGUUUUUUAAUUGGAAACUUGUAUGAAAGAUUUGAUGAGAUAUAAGCUGUCUCUUAUAUUAUUAUUAAAAAUUUAUUUUUUAGUUAAAAAGCUAAAAUAAUUUUAAAAGACGAGAAGACCCUAUAGAGUUUUAUAUUUAAUUUUAUUUAUGGGGUAUAUAAAAAUUAAUAUUAAAAUAAAAUGAAAUAUUGUAUUGGGGUGAUAGAAAAAUUAGAUUAACUUUUUUUAAAAAUUAAACAUAAAUAAAUGAUUAAAUGAUCCAUUAAUAAUGAUUAUAAGAAAAAAUUACCUUAGG